rnacentral:rRNA from 1 species
GAUGAACGCUGGCGGCGUGCCUAAUACAUGCAAGUCGAGCGAACAGACGAGGAGCUUGCUCCUCUAACGUUAGCGGCGGACGGGUGAGUAACACGUGGAUAACCUACCUAUAAGACUGGGAUAACUUCGGGAAACCGGAGCUAAUACCGGAUAAUAUAUUGAACCGCAUGGUUCAAUAGUGAAAGACGGUUUUGCUGUCACUUAUAGAUGGAUCCGCGCCGCAUUAGCUAGUUGGUAAGGUAACAGCUUACCAAGGCAACGAUGCGUAGCCGACCUGAGAGGGUGAUCGGCCACACUGGAACUGAGACACGGUCCAGACUCCUACGGGAGGCAGCAGUAGGGAAUCUUCCGCAAUGGGCGAAAGCCUGACGGAGCAACGCCGCGUGAGUGAUGAAGGUCUUCGGAUCGUAAAACUCUUUUAUUAGGGAAGAACAAAUGUGUAAGUAACUAUGCACGUCUUGACGGUACCUAAUCAGAAAGCCACGGCUAACUACGUG